rnacentral:lncRNA from 1 species
AUUGUUGUUAUUUUAUAUUUUUAUUUUAGAUAAUUUUAUAUUAGUAUUAUUUUAUAUAUAACAUUAUGUAUUCAAGAAUCGAAAUAUAAGACAAAUAUAAUAUAUUUUUUCAACAUUUAAUCUAUUUUGAGUCUGUAUCCUGAUGUUAAGUUCACCCUUGUUCACUAUUCAUCAAUAUAGGUUGACAGAGUUAUAUUUUGUCUUUUGCACGGUGAAAAUAUGUAAUGUAUUAUCCAGAAAUUGGUAACUUAAACGUAGUUCAAACAAUAAAUUGAAACUUUUAACAAUGAAAUUAUGAUUAUUGCUUUUAUAUACUUGCACAAUAAAUAUCUAAAAAAAAGAAAUGAUCUUUUCUUUGAUAUAAUAAGACUUUAGCAUAAUUUUUUGGUGUUUUAUGUGGGUGCAGUGAUGUUAGAUUUGAACAUUUUAUCAGUAAAUAAACCUAUAUAUUGCUUACUUUAGUGUUGUCCUUAUAAAAAAAAUGAAAUGCAUGAUCAUGUAUUGGUCUGUUGAAAAAUACUGAGUAUCAUAUUUGGAAAAUGAAAACCAACUCGCCAAUUAUUAAAAAUCACACAUACCAUUUAAGAGCAAGUGUCAAUCUAUAUCAUUACUGGCUUCUAUCAUUGGUGAAUGUCCUUCC